GCCUUCGUGGUGUAGUGGUCAGCACGCUCGGCGCGUAUUCGAGAAGCCCGUGGUUCGAGUCCCGGCGAGGGCA
rfam:Stegodyphus mimosarum contig53993, whole genome shotgun sequence.